rnacentral:lncRNA from 1 species
AGCAGGUCCGCCUCUCCUCUCCAUCCUCUCAUUCAGCCUUUUUCUGUCGCUCUCCCACGUUCACUACCCGGGGUACAGCAUCACCUCUCCGCACAAACACACACGAUGGCGUAUGAGUGUGUGUCACACAUUUGUCCCUAUCAGCGGUGUGUCUGGUGAAAAGUUUCUCACAGCUGUCGGACUCGGACGGAGUGAGCGCGUGCUGCUUCUGGCACGGGUCUGGAGGAAGAAGAAGACUAUUUCUCUCUUUCUCUUCAUUUUUCCUGCUUAUAUUUACACUUCCGUGUGGAGCUUUGACCCUGUGGUUCUACUGAAGAACCUUUUUGGUUCUGGGCUCUGAGUGGACACGAUGGGAAGGUGUAGGAGGUGGAGGAACUUGGUCUUUGUGCUGCUUUGCUUCCUGAGCUCCGCAGACUUCAUGAUCUCCGACUUACAAGAUGGAACUUUACCAGACCGAGCUGAAGAUCGCAGGGUAUCUCCCAUGUCUGAACUACAUGAGACCACCAUUCCACUGGUGCUGAAGGGCAAGGAACGCAGACCUCUGAGCUCACAUCUCACAGACAGGGGUUUUCUUGCAUCGCUCCAGCUGCUCAUACAAGCAGAAGGUGAACAGCUGAUCCUGUCGCUGGAGAAAAAUGAGUAUGUUUCCUUCUGGGAGUUUUUUGCACACGUGAAGUGCUUUUCUAAAUUUUGAGGGCACAAAAAAACAAACAUGACUGUAAUUUAAC